UACGGAGGGUGCAAGCGUUAAUCGGAAUUACUGGGCGUAAAGCGCUCGUAGGCGGUUUGUUAAGUCGGAUGUGAAAGCCCCGGGCUCAACCUGGGAACUGCAUUCGAUACUGGCAAACUAGAGUAUAGAAGAGGCAAGUGGAAUUCCGGGUGUAGCGGUGAAAUGCGUAGAUAUCCGGAGGAACAUCAGUGGCGAAGGCG
rnacentral:rRNA from 1 species